UUUUAAUUUCAUCCUUCUUGCUAUCUAAAUAAAGUCGUACUUUGUAUAAACAGUGCGGUGUCCUUCUUGAGUGACAUAUAGUUCUCUCGCUUGCACUCGUGGGCUUUUACCGGGCUUUGCGCUUAUCUCUUCUAACGUAUGAAAUUUCGUUGAAGUAGCUACAUACCUAUCUAUAGAAUUCUAUAGCAAUUUAUAUGGCCAACAAAGCCGGGCUUUAACAGUGUGAAGAUAGUUACGAUUGCGCGUCGUGCGAACGAACGAACGUCGUGAAUAUUAUUGUUAGUAUGGUUUAGCGCGUGAUUAUACCGGUGUAAUUUAGGUUAAGUUUUUCGAAUUUUGUGAUAAAAUAAGUGUCGCGACACAGAUUGUAUUGUAAAUUGUGAUGGUUUGCUUUGUGCUCAGCGGGGAAAGGUAAAAUCAUUAAACUUUACUGUAAAACAACGAUUAAUUUCUUCAUCAAAACCAACUCCCGAUUUGUGCAGUAAGUAACAUAAACCAAAUUUUAAUUGUAAUGUUUACGAAUUAAUCGAUUUCAUGAAUGAGAAUUGGUUAGAAGAAGUCUUCUGAUGAAACUUGCACAUAUUUUGGUAUUUACGAUUCUUGCUACCUAGUAGUUCUUCCAC